rnacentral:lncRNA from 1 species
GUCAUAAAACAUCAGAGUAUUUAUUACAUAGCGGAAGACUUAUUACAAAAUAAAAGAAUAAAUAUAAAACGAACUAAGGAUCGUUGGCGCCAAUGUCGACUGAGAAACGCCACCUAGAUCAGAUCAAACUCCUCGCCUUGUAGCUCCUCCUGAACCACCUGCUCUUCUCCUGUGGGGGGGGUGUGAGACAGCAAGAGUGAGCUCACAUACGUUCAUCGCUCAACAAGUCGUGGGGAAUAAUGUGGCAUGAACUCACCAAAGGUGGGAGUUCAUGAAGUGUAAGGCUGAUCAAUGAAAUAGAGGCUGAAGCUGAGCAUUGCUUUUAUAAGUUGGUCAAAAUUUUAUUAGCAAUUACUAAGUGUAAGUAAAUACCAAACCUUAAUAAUAAUAAAUAAAGUAAUAGUAAAAUAAUCCCAAAUGCGAUGCAAAUGUCAAAUUGAAUUUAAGUUCCAUAAUUAAUCAUGUGAGGGUCCGAGCCGCUCAUGACCGUGAGCACGGCUAGUAUACCAGUUUUACACUCUGCAGAGGUUGCGCAUCUUUACCCACAAGUCAUGUUACCCAUCUGCCAAGAGAUGGCCAAUCCCAUACACCUCUACCGAGGAGGCGAGGCAGGGUAACACUACGAGGCCUUUACAAAGUUCCACUAGCUUCAGAAAUCCCGCUACAGUUUAUAGGAAGCUCCAAUACAGGGUUCUUGCCUGACCGCCAUCGCAGCAAAAUCAACCCAAGGACCUCCCUACACUGACCACUCCCCUACUGCCCUUGCCCCUUUCGGGUAAGGAAGACCUCCACUAGCUUUCCUAGUUAAUCAGCCAAGGGCGUCCCAUUAUACCCUUGUGGUAGCACUGUUUUCCCGGGUGGUCGCUCCAUGUUCCCAUUAAUUUAAUGAUCUUAACAUGAACAGUAAUAAUAACAAGAUAAUAACAGGAUAAUCAUGUGUAGUAUAACUCCAUACCCAAUCCACAUAAAGCAAUAGCAAGUACUACCCAAAAAUAUUUCAGGGGUGAACAAGGUAUAGAGGUAAUCAAAACUGGGGUAACAUAAAGGAUCCCAUCAAAAUUAACCUAUGCAGAUCAUUAAAAUUAAUAAGAACAUGGCUGGGAAAAGUAAGUGAUCAAGGGCACAACUUGCCUUCAAUGAGCUCCUGCUCAGCUAUCUCUACUUGCUGAACCUCAGAUUCCACAGUGGCUUGCUCGUCUACUCUCGCAUCAAC